rnacentral:pre_miRNA from 1 species
AGGGUAUGGUGCGCAGGAUCUUGGGCUGUGUCCCCUGGCGCCCUGGGCUCCGGGGCCUGUGCCACUGGAAUCACACUCCCCGGGUCACACAGCCCCCU